rnacentral:tRNA from 1 species
GGGAAGGUGGCUCAGUGGUAGAGCGCUUGCCUUGCAUGCACAAGGCCCUGGGUUCGAUUCCUCAGCACCCCA